rnacentral:rRNA from 1 species
CAAUAGCGUAUAUUAAAGUUGUUGCAGUUAAAAAGCUCGUAGUUGGAUUUGUGGCGUACGGUGUGUUCCGGGCACUUGUUGUCUGAGUAACCUGCUGUUGCCAUCCUUGGGUGGAACCUGUGUGGCAUUAGGUUGUCGUGCAGGGGAUGCCCAUCAUUUACUGUGAAAAAAUUAGAGUGUUCAAAGCAGGCUUAUGCCGUUGAAUAUAUUAGCAUGGAAUAAUGAGAUAGGACUUUUUUGCUAUUUUGUUGGUUUGCGCAAAGAGGUAAUGAUUAAUAGGGACAGUUGGGGGUAUUCGUAUUCCAUUGUCAGAGGUGAAAUUCUUGGAUUUUUGGAAGACGAACUACUGCGAAAGCAUUUACCAAGGAUGUUUUCGUUAA